UUUUGCCUACGGGGCGCAGCAGUGGGGAAUAUUGCACAAUGGGGGGAACCCUGAUGCAGCGACGCCGCGUGAGUGAAGAAGUAUUUCGGUAUGUAAAGCUCUAUCAGCAGGGAAGAAGAUGACGGUACCUGACUAAGAAGCCCCGGCUAACUACGUGCCAGCAGCCGCGGUAAUACGUAGGGGGCAAGCGUUAUCCGGGUUUACUGGGUGUAAAGGGAGCGUAGACGGCAGGGCAAGUCUGGAGUGAAAGCCCGGGGCCCAACCCCGGGACUGCUUUGGAAACUGCCAUGCUAGAGGGCUGGAGG
rnacentral:rRNA from 1 species